UACGUAGGGUGCAAGCGUUAAUCGGAAUUACUGGGCGUAAAGCGUGCGCAGGCGGUUAUGUAAGACAGUUGUGAAAUCCCCGGGCUCAACCUGGGAACUGCAUCUGUGACUGCAUAGCUAGAGUACGGUAGAGGGGGAUGGAAUUCCACGUGUAGCAGUGAAAUGCGUAGAGAUGUGGAGGAACACCGAUGGCGAAGGCAGCCCCCUGGGAUGAGACUGACGCUCAUGUACGAAAGCGUGGGGAGCAAACAGG
rnacentral:rRNA from 1 species